GUGUUGUAUGAAAGGAGAGAAGGUUAGCACUCCCCUUGACAAGGAUGGAAGAGACCCUCAGGCCUGACACGCAUACGGUUAAGAAAUAAAAGACUUUCUUUUGCCCAUUUAUUGUUUUUU